ensembl:lncRNA
CCUGUGUGCACUCAACCUACACACACACACACACACUCAACCUACGGUAUUUCACAGACAUGCAACUUUCAAAUCCUAAUGAUCAUCUAAUCUCAGUUGUCUGCUUGUGAGAAGGGUGACUCAUUCCUUCAGAGAGGAAGAGGGAAGGAGUACCUACCUGCUGCCAGUGGCAGCAAAUUGCAGAGGAGUUAUAUCAGAAGUCUCAGUUUCCCCAUUGCCUGGGUGCCAUUGAUGGGAAACACAUCAUCAUACAGCUACCAGCACACAGCAGAAGCAACUUCUGCAACUACAAAUGACGCUCCUCCUUGCAGAUGAUAGCUGUUGUUGAUGCGACAUACCAAUUCAGGUUUUGGUUUCAGGAGAUUUCAAAUUAAGGUCCAUGAGGUAGUCACCUGGAAUGGUUUCCCAACAGUCUUGAAGGAGUUCCCAGAGGUGUUGAGGACUUGUCUGCUUUUCCUUCACUCUGCAGUUCAACACAUCCCAAAUCAUUUCGUGUGGGUUAAGGUUGGGUGAUGGUGCAGGCCAGGUCUCGCCUUCUGUGCGUCUCACAAAGACAUGGCAGUUGGAACCAAAAAUCUCAGAUUUGGACUCAUCAGACCAAAGUAAAGAUUUCCACUGGUCUAAUGUCUAUUACUUGUGUUUCUUGGCCCCAGUGUUAAUUUCGUUGAGGGAAAUAUGCGUUAACGACCUUUUUCCCAUGACUAAGCCAUGA